rnacentral:rRNA from 1 species
GACGAACGCUGGCGGCGUGCCUAAUACAUGCAAGUAGAACGCUGAAGGAGGAGCUUGCUUCUCUGGAUGAGUUGCGAACGGGUGAGUAACGCGUAGGUAACCUGCCUGGUAGCGGGGGAUAACUAUUGGAAACGAUAGCUAAUACCGCAUAAGAGUAGAUGUCGCAUGACAUUUGCUUAAAAGGUGCAAUUGCAUCACUACCAGAUGGACCUGCGUUGUAUUAGGUAGUUGGUGAGGUAACGGCUCACCAAGGCAACGAUACAUAGCCGACCUGAGAGGGUGAUCGGCCAAACUGGGACUGAGACAAGGCCCAGACUCCUACGGGAGGCAGCAGUAGGGAAUCUUCGGCAAUGGACGGAAGUCUGACCGAGCAACGCCGCGUGAGUGAAGAAGGUUUUCGGAUCGUAAAGCUCUGUUGUAAGAGAAGAACGAGUGUGAGAGUGGAAAGUUCACACUGUGACGGUAUCUUACCAGAAAGGGACGGCUAACUACGUG